rnacentral:rRNA from 1 species
AGGUACAGCGGGAAGGCCAUAUGGCGACAUAGAGCGGAACCCGAAAACCUGUNUCAGUUCGGAUUGGAGUCUGCAACCCGACUCCAUGAAGCUGGAUUCGCUAGUAAUCGCGCAUCAGCCACGGCGCGGUGAAUACGUUCCCGGGCCCUUGUACACACCGCCCGUCAAGCCAUGGAAGCCGGGAGUGCCUGAAGUGCGUGAGCGCAAGCAGCGCCCUAAGGUAAAACCGGUGACUGGGGCUAAGUCGUAACAAGGUACC